CCACCUAUGGUUCAAUGGUAGAACGCAUGUCGUGUUCUGUAGAUGUGGGUUCGAGUCCCACAGGUAGA
rnacentral:tRNA from 1 species